AAGACUUGAGAAUAGAGAUAUGGGACUAUCGCCCCCAUAAAUUGAAAGGAAAUGUGGGAAUCCCAGCCCCACCAAGUCUU
rnacentral:ncRNA from 12 species